UCCUUUAAAAUAAGGAAAAUUAUAUUAUAAUUGAUUCCUUGAAAUAUUUAUUUCCCUUAUUUGUUCCCCCCUCCUCUACUAUAUAAAGAGACUCCUUUUAUUCAUUCACACACUCAUUCACUCUCAAUCACAAAUCCUCUCAUCACUCUCUCUUCUCUCAUUGCUCUCUUGCUACUUUAACAACACAUUAAUAUUUCGGUAAUUAUCCAAGGGUUCUUCUUGGCUAUUUUCCUACUUUGUUCAAGUAAAAGGUGAAUCAAUUUGUUUUGCUUAAACAGCUAUUUGAUUACUUUGACAGGUUUCAUACUUGAAGUUCAAGUUGAAGAUUAACUGAAGAAGGAUUUAUUUAUUUGUUUGAAUGUAUAUAUAUAUCUAUAUAUUUUUAUUUUUUUCGCUAUUUUAUUUAUUCGAAUGUUGUAACAAUUGUAACCCUAAAGAUCAUAUAAUAAAUUUAUUUAGGGGUCGUCUAGGGGAGGGGGAUUUAUAUGCUUA